GUGCCAGCAGCCGCGGUAAUACGGAGGGUGCAAGCGUUGUUCGGAAUUAUUGGGCGUAAAGCGCACGUAGGCGGGUUCGUAUGUCGAUUGUGAAAGCCCUAGGCUUAACCUGGGAAUUGCAGUCGAAACUGCGAAUCUUGAAUACCUGAGAGGGUGGGGGAAUUCCUGGUGGAGUAGUGAAAUACGUAGAGAUCAGGAGGAACACCUGAGGCGAAGGCGCCUGCCUGGCAGUGUAUUGACGCUGAGGUGCGAAAGCGUGGGGAGCAAACAGGAUUAGAUACCCCAGUAGUCC
rnacentral:rRNA from 1 species